UGGGGAAUAUUGGACAAUGGGCGCAAGCCUGAUCCAGCCAUGCCGCGUGAGUGAUGAAGGCCUUAGGGUUGUAAAGCUCUUUCGUCAGGGAAGAUAAUGACGGUACCUGAAGAAGAAGCCCCGGCUAACUUCGUGCCAGCAGCCGCGGUAAUACGAAGGGGGCUAGCGUUGUUCGGAAUUACUGGGCGUAAAGCGCACGUAGGCGGACUUGUCAGUCAGGGGUGAAAUCCCGAGGCUUAACCUCGGAACUGCCUUUGAUACUGCAAGUCUUGAGGAUGAGAGAGGUAAGUGGAACUGCGAGUGUAGAGGUGAAAUUCGUAGAUAUUCGCAAGAACACCAGUGGCGAAGGCGGCUUACUGGCUCAUUUCUGACGCUGAGGUGCGAAAGCGUGGGGAGCAAACAGG
rnacentral:rRNA from 1 species